CGCGAUUGCAUAAUUGCUUGAUAUUUAUAUAAACCUCGAAAUUCAGUCAUUUUAGCCAAAUCUGUCAAUCAAGGAUUUUACUGUUUGAUCAUGAACAAAUACGUGCUUGUAUUCGUGGCGUUGAUGCUAAUUACUGGGAUGGCCACAGUGUGUGAAGGGAAUGCAGCGUGGAGAUCAUACUACUAUCGGCCAUCAGCUUCCAGAAUGAGAAGUUUUCGAUCCAGAAGCAGAUUCAAUCCUCGGUCUCGAUCUACCGGCGGAUGGGCAAGACAGUUUGGGCGGCGGCGUUGACCCGCUUCAUGACACGUGUCCGAGCGUGAUCAGACUGGGUUGAGGCUGGUCUAUAUUGUUAUCCAAUACCUUUUCUAUUUUUGUAAUAAAAUGUUGACUUCCUUUA